UACGUAGGGGGCAAGCGUUAUCCGGAUUUACUGGGUGUAAAGGGAGCGUAGACGGCAUUGCAAGUCUGAUGUGAAAGAUUGGGGCCCAACCCCAGGCCUGCAUUGGAAACUGUAAAGCUGGAGUACAGGAGAGGUAAGCGGAAUUCCUAGUGUAGCGGUGAAAUGCGUAGAUAUUAGGAGGAACACCAGUGGCGAAGGCGGCUUACUGGACUGUAACUGACGUUGAGGCUCGAAAGCGUGGGGAGCAAACAGG
rnacentral:rRNA from 1 species